GUCGAGACAGAACCAUGGAAGUUAGGAAGUCUUGUCAUUAAAUCCCUAAAGAACGUCUGCGAUUACGAAAGAAUACCUUGAACAAGAGUUUAUACGCAAAACAAGAAACUACGAUUAAAAUAUUUAUUUAUUUAUUGUAACUCAUGCAUAUGCAGGUUUGUAUGGUUACUAUAAAGACGGCUUUUAAGCUCUAGUCAAGUUGAAGAGCAGAUAGCCUGAAUUAGAGAAGGACAUCACAAAGAUACAUCCUGGAAACAUGGUGGGAUUCGAACCUGUAAUAUCCGUGCUACAGAGGGUUUGGUGGAUCGGCGACACAGCCCUGCUAGCAAGUACAUUCCCUUUCUUAUCUUUGACCCACUUAAACGAAUAACUUCAUCUUACUUACUUCUUAUCAGUUUCUGAAGUUACCAACCGUCGAUAGCUCAGUUGGCAGAGCGGUGGACUGUAGAGGAAAAAUCAUUGACAUCCAUAGGUCGCUGGUUCGACUCCGGCUCGACGGAAGCUCUUUUUAUAAAAAAAACAACUGUCUUCUGCAGAUCACAACGAGUCUGGAUUAUAUUACAUAAAAAAAAAAUUAUAAUAAUUUGCAUUUUUGUUAUUAUAUUUGUUCUAUUGUACACAUGCUUAUAAAAUUUAUUUUUAAA